rnacentral:rRNA from 1 species
UGCAGUCGAACGUGAUCCGCCCUUCGGGGUGGUGAAAGUGGCGCACGGGUGAGUAACGCGUGGAUAAUCUGCCCGAGGAUUUGGGAUAACAUCUCGAAAGGGGUGCUAAUACCGAAUAAGCCCACGGGGUCUACGGAUCUUGCGGGAAAAGGGGGGGACCUUCGGGCCUCCUGUCCUUGGAUGAGUCUGCGUACCAUUAGCUAGUUGGUGGGGUAAUGGCCUACCAAGGCGACGAUGGUUAGCUGGUCUGAGAGGAUGAUCAGCCACACUGGAACUGAGACACGGUCCAGACUCCUACGGGAGGCAGCAGUGGGGAAUUUUGCGCAAUGGGGGAAACCCUGACGCAGCAACGCCGCGUGGGUGAUGAAGGCCUUCGGGUCGUAAAGCUCUGUCUGGAGGGAAGAAAUGAUUGGGAGCUAAUACCUCUUGAUCUUGACGGUACCUCUGAAGGAAGCACCGGCUAACUCCGUGCCAGCAGCCGCGGUAAUACGGAGGGUGCAAGCGUUGUUCGGAAUUAUUGGGCGUAAAGCGCGUGUAGGCGGUCUUUUAAGUCUGAUGUG